CCUACGGGGGGCAGCAGUGGGGAAUAUUGGACAAUGGGGGCAACCCUGAUCCAGCCAUGCCGCGUGUGUGAAGAAGGCCCUCGGGUUGUAAAGCACUUUCAGUGAGGAAGAACGCCUGGUGGUUAAUACCCAUCAGGAAAGACAUCACUCACAGAAGAAGCACCGGCUAACUCCGUGCCAGCAGCCGCGGUAAUACGGAGGGUGCGAGCGUUAAUCGGAAUUACUGGGCGUAAAGCGCGCGUAGGUGGCUUGAUAAGCCGGUUGUGAAAGCCCCGGGCUCAACCUGGGAACGGCAUCCGGAACUGUCGAGCUAGAGUGCAGGAGAGGAAGGUAGAAUUCCCGGUGUAGCGGUGAAAUGCGUAGAGAUCGGGAGGAAUACCAGUGGCGAAGGCGGCCUUCUGGACUGACACUGACACUGAGGUGCGAAAGCGUGGGUAGCAAACAGGAUUAGAUAUCCUAGUAGUC
rnacentral:rRNA from 1 species